AAUUAUUCAAUCCUUUAAAUACCAACUAGACUACCCGCAAUUUUUUCAAAUUUCACAUCAUUAUAUCUCACACGCAUUUAACAGUUUUUUGUCAACCUGCAAAUUUUUCUCAUCGAUAUAUCAAUUUUUCUGCUCCAAGAAGCAAAAAAUUGGUGAUAACUCAAUCAAUUUUAUAGAUAGAUCAAUUUAACUCGAGAAAUCAUAUUCCUGGAAUCAAAAUAUGACGCUUUUCUAAUGUAUUUUGACGUCAGGCACACGAAUUCGUUGACUAAAUUGAGCUACAAAUUUUUUCUAUCGAGAUAUCUCAAUUUUUCUGCUUCAAGAAGCGGAAUUCAGAUUCCUGAGAUCAAAGGGCCAGGCAUUGACUUUGCUGUUUACCUGUGACCUUCGGUGCCCUGUAGCAUCCUGUAGUGCCUGAACGUGACGCCUUCGACCAUGAGUUGUUUAUCUCAUAAAUUACGUCGUUUGGUUUACCCUGUCACCCCUUGCAAGGCCGACUCUGAAUUUAGAAUCACCCUGUAUA
rnacentral:misc_RNA from 1 species